rnacentral:rRNA from 1 species
GUUGGUUUCUAGGAUCACCGUAAUGAUUAAUAGGGAUAGUUGGGGGCAUUAGUAUUCAAUUGUCAGAGGUGAAAUUCUUGGAUUUAUUGAAGACUAACUUCUGCGAAAGCAUUUGCCAAGGAUGUUUUCAUUAAUCAAGAACGAAAGUUAGGGGAUCGAAGACGAUCAGAUACCGUCGUAGUCUUAACCAUAAACUAUGCCGACUAGGGAUCGGCGAUGUAAUUUUUAAUGACUCG